UUGAGUCGUGACUUUUCCGCUGUCAAACUCAAAAUCUCUCCACUCUCCAAUCGUGCCGUCGCCUCCAGCAGCCAGCUUCGGCCCGGCGACCCUCCUUGCCGUCAGAGAGAGAGAGCUCAGCCCGUCGUCCCUCAAUCCUCACGCAAUCACGCUUCACGUCGUCGACCCUCUUCGUCUUCACGCCUCUUCGUCUUCACGGCUCCAUCUCCAGGUGUUGCAUUGAUGUCUACUCAAGAUUCAACAAAUUACUGAAUCUCUAUUAUUUGUUGAAACUUGGAAGAUAUUGAAGAUUUGUCAUGGAACUUUAUUUAGGAUUUAUUGAUGUAAUAUGUUUAAACUAUUGAAGAUUUAGAGUAGAUUUAUUUUGGUUGAUAUUUGUUAUUGUGGUAUGUGGAUUGAAUAUUUGUUUUUUUGUUGGUAAUGGAUCAUGAAUAUAAUCAUGCUAUGGUAUCGUUUGUACUUUAAAAGUUGUAACUUUGUAGUUUGUAUGCUUUUUUUUUCAUGUUUUUCGGUUUUUUGUUUU